rnacentral:rRNA from 1 species
UAGAGUUUGAUCCUGGCUCAGAUUGAACGCUGGCGGCAUGCUUUACACAUGCAAGUCGAGCGGCAGCGCGGGGGCAACCCUGGCGGCGAGCGGCGAACGGGUGAGUAAUGCAUCGGAACGUGUCCUGGAGUGGGGGAUAACCCGGCGAAAGCCGGGCUAAUACCGCAUACGCUCCAUGGAGGAAAGCGGGGGAUCCGCAAGGACCUCGCGCUCAAGGAGCGGCCGAUGCCCGAUUAGCUUGUUGGUGAGGUAAAGGCUUACCAAGGCGACGAUCGGUAGCUGGUCUGAGAGGAUGAUCAGCCACACUGGGACUGAGACACGGCCCAGACUCCUACGGGAGGCAGCAGUGGGGAAUUUUGGACAAUGGGGGCAACCCUGAUCCAGCCAUGCCGCGUGCGGGAAGAAGGCCUUCGGGUUGUAAACCGCUUUUAGCCGGGAAGAAAAGGCCACGGAUAACACCCGUGGUUUUUGACGGUACCGGCGGAAUAAGCACCGGCUAACUACGUGCCAGCAGCCCCGGUCAA